rnacentral:lncRNA from 1 species
AUGAGGGUUUGCAAAGGCAGUGAAUGUGGAUGUAUAGUAUGGUAUAAUUUAAGAGGACCAGCUCUCCUGGUGUUGAGGUAUCGAUCAGCCUUGAUGUCUCCCAUCAGAUACACUUGCCCUUUUCAACCUAGAGAGUGUUAAAAGGUGGUCAGUGUUUGGAGAACAGAUUAAAAUUGCCUGAAAUUGUGAGAAGAGAAAGUAGUCCUGCAUUGAAUGAAGACAAAUCAAAACUGAAAGAGAGAGAGAGAGAAAAAAAAAAAGAAAAG